rnacentral:rRNA from 1 species
UACGAAGGGGGCUAGCGUUGCUCGGAAUCACUGGGCGUAAAGGGUGCGUAGGCGGUUUGGUAAGUCUGAUGUGAAAUCUAUGGGCUCAACUCAUAGUCUGCAUCGGAAACUGCCGGGCUUGAGUAUGGGAGAGGUGAGUGGAAUUCCUGGUGUAGCGGUGAAAUGCGUAGAUAUCAGGAGGAACACCUGUGGUGUAGACGGCUUUCUGGACCAUAGCUGACGCUGAGACACGAAAGCGUGGGUAGCAAACAGG